AACGCUGGCGGCGUGCCUAACACAUGCAAGUCGCACGAGAAAGGGUCUUCGGAUCUGAGUAAAGUGGCGCACGGGUGAGUAACACGUGACUAAUCUACCCUCGAGUGGGGAAUAACCUAGGGAAACCUGGGCUAAUACCGCAUAACACUUACGAGUCAAAGCAGCAAUGCGCUUGGGGAGGAGGUCGCGGCAGAUUAGCUGGUUGGCGGGGUAAUGGCCCACCAAGGCGAUGAUCUGUAUCCGGCCUGAGAGGGCGCACGGACACACUGGAACUGAAACACGGUCCAGACUCCUACGGGAGGCAGCAGUGGGGAAUUUUGCGCAAUGGGGGAAACCCUGACGCAGCAACGCCGCGUGGAGGAUGAAGUCUCUUGGGACGUAAACUCCUUUCGAUAGGGAAGAUGAUGACGGUACC
rnacentral:rRNA from 1 species